UACGACCAUAUACUGUUGAAACACCGGUUCUGUUACGAUCACUGAAGUUAAGCAACGUGGAGCCUGGUCAGUACGAAAAUGGACGACCGCUUGGGAAUACCAGGUGCUGUAAG